CAGAGUUGCAAGACUCCCUAAACCAUUGUGAACCUACCUUCUACCGUUGCUUCGGCGGGCGGGCCCAGCGCCCCCCCCGGCCCCCCGCGGGCACCCGCCGGAGGAUACCCAAACUCUUGACAUUAGUGGCCUCUCUGAGUAUUCUUUACUGAAUAAGUCA
rnacentral:misc_RNA from 1 species